CACACCUCCCCUGGCUAUGAUUGACAGAGUCUGCAUGAAAAGAAAACUGGUUUCACUUUCAAACAGAUGUAAUUUACCUUAAAUAAUUGUAUCUCAAUCUCUAAAUUGAACUUUAAUCACAUACAGGAGGCUCUUGCAGGGUCUAGCAAGCUAUUAACAUAGCAGUGGAUAAGAAAAUCUUAAUGAAACAGAACUUGCAAUAAAGAAAGCCUAAAUAGGGCUCUCUUUACAGGAAGUGUUUAUGGAAGGCUGUGCAGGUCACAUGCAGGGAGGUGUGACUAGGGUUCAUAAACAAAGGGAUUUAACUCCUAAAUGGCAGAGGAUUGAGCAGUGAGGCUGCAGGGGCAUGUUCUAUACACCAAAACUGC